rnacentral:rRNA from 1 species
AUGCACGCUGGCGGCGUGCCUCAUCCCUGCAAGUCGAGCGAACGGACGAGAAGCUUGCUUCUCUGAUGCUAGCGGCGGACGGGUGAGUAACACGUGGAUAACCUACCUAUAAGACUGGGAUAACUUCGGGAAACCGGAGCUAAUACCGGAUAAUAUUUUGAACCGCAUGGUUCAAAAGUGAAAGACGGUCUUGCCGUCACUUAUAGAUGGAUCCGCGCUGCAUUAGCUAGUUGGUAAGGUAACGGCUUACCAAGGCAACGAUGCAUAGCCGACCUGAGAGGGUGAUCGGCCACACUGGAACUGAGACACGGUCCAGACUCCUACGGGAGGCAGCAGUAGGGAAUCUUCCGCAAUGGGCGAAAGCCUGACGGAGCAACGCCGCGUGAGUGAUGAAGGUCUUCGGAUCGUAAAACUCUGUUAUUAGGGAAGAACAUAUGUGUAAGUAACUGUGCACAUCUUGACGGUACCUAAUCAGAAAGCCACGGCUAACUACGUG